ACCGAAGGGGCAACACCAAAGGGGAUCUCCCCUUGAGGAGUCCUGAGGACUGAGCAUUUCCAUCACACAACUAGCGAGACUCAACAGCUAUAUUUAUAAGAGGUGGGAAAACAUGGAAUCUGAUAUGCAUUGGAUGAACCUCUUCAACACCACGGAUGUGUCUAGCUGCGCUCUUUGAAUCUGCACAUUCUGUCAUAAUAAGGUAUGAAGAACUCUGGUGUGUAUCACUGAAGCAGACCAGACAGAAAAGAGGUCGACAUCUUUUGGAAAAUGCACAACAGGCCUUUGCGCAAUACCAACACUUUGGAUUCCAACACUGUUCUUUUGACAUUCACAGAUUCUAUGUCAAGGGGUCUCUGUAGAUAUAUAUCCACUGCGGGAAAUGCACACUGGCCUGUUGCGGACCCAAAACACACAUCACCCUUCCAACAGACCCAAAAAGACAGUGGAAUUUUGUAACCAUUGCUGAAGUGCAACAAUGAUAACAACAGAAGCCAUCACAAGCUGGGCC